CUGCAUCUCUUCGUUCCACGUACUCUUUUCUGCUGAGCUCCCCGCCGCUUACUACGGCCGGAGCAAAGGUCACCUGGCUCAUAGACAUUUUCCUUGUACGGGGUGCCAUCGUGAAGCCCUUUCAAAUGAAAACGCCCUUUCAGUCUGCGAACACCCACCAUGUCAAUCAUAUGACUGCCAAACAAGAGAAUAUGCAACGCUCGUUCGCUAGAUUUAGGCACGCCCAAACUUUGAGAAGCGCGUGAUGGGAAUCCAUCUUAUUGCUGCUGACUACAUGGAUAGUGGCGGGUGUGCGUCUAAAAAGAAUAUCUAAGCUGCAUCUAUUCUGAAAGUAUACGCUUGACCAAAGACAGUGAAACAGCCAAAUUGCUGUGCCAAGCUGUCAAUGCAGAGUAAGCACCUCUCUGUUUACAAGUCAAGCCCUUACGCCAAAGCAAUGCAUGAUUGCGCUUCUAAAAUACGAGAUUAUAUCGACGAUAACAAGAAAUUAGGAUUGCGAAGCAGCAUGUCCAAGUUCACCUCGAACGGUCAUGCCAGAGAAUUUAACAACGAUAUGGUGCCAUGGCCCCUGAUGUCAAUAUCUCCUGCAACUGGUCAUUGAAACGUUUCACCAAGUACGAAAGCUACAUCCAGGAUUCUCUGUUGUCGGACAUACUUUCAUUUGGCAU
rnacentral:lncRNA from 1 species